UACGAAGGGGGCUAGCGUUGCUCGGAAUCACUGGGCGUAAAGCGCACGUAGGCGGAUUGCUAAGUCAGGGGUGAAAUCCUGGAGCUCAACUCCAGAACUGCCCUUGAUACUGGCGGUCUCGAGUCCGGGAGAGGUGAGUGGAACUGCGAGUGUAGAGGUGAAAUUCGUAGAUAUUCGCAAGAACACCAGUGGCGAAGGCGGCUCACUGGCCCGUAACUGACGCUGAGGCACGAAAGCGUGGGGAGCAAACAGG
rnacentral:rRNA from 1 species